rnacentral:rRNA from 1 species
CAAUAGCGUAUAUUAAAGUUGUUGCGGUUAAAAAGCUCGUAGUUGGAGUUCUGCCAGGUGCCGCCUGUCCGCCCCAGUGGUGAGUACGUGGCGCGCAUUUGGCCCUUUCAAGGGGAGCGUAUCUGCACUUUAUUGUGUGGUGCGGGAUCCUUGACUUUUACUUUGAGGAAAUAGGAGUGUUCCAAGCAGGCUCUCGUCGUGCACAGCUCAGCAUGGAAUAAUAGCAUUGGACCUCGAUUCUAAGCUGUUGGUUGCCAGAAGCGAGGUAAUGAUGAAGAGGGAUAGUUGGGGGCAUUCGUAUUUAACUGUCAGAGGCGAAAUUCUUGGAUUUGUUAAAGACGGACUACUGCGAAAGCAUCUGCCAUGGAUGUUUUCAUUGA